AUCUCAGUAAAAGGGCGAGAAUACAAAUCAAAUCAAAAACCCUAAUCUGAAAAAGAGGUGGAGAAUGUCGAUUUCAAAAUUCGUAGUUAAUUAUCACAAAAAAGAUGAUGAGGAUCAUGGUUAUGGCUAUAAUUUAAUGAAGAAGAUGAAGAAUCAGAAGAUCGAGGAAAAAGUUGAAGCAAGGAGCAAUCUGAAGAAGAAGACGAAGACCGAAAAAAAAGAAGCAAAAGAUGAAGUUGAAAUGAUCCAAAUAUCUCUUCCAAUUGAAAUGAUUCUAGAGUUUCUAUCAAGACUACCAGUUAAAUCUCUGACGAGAUUAAGCUGCGCAAGUAAGUACCUGUACAAUUACAUCAAUCAAAAUCCACAAUUUACUAAAUCUCACUUUAUUAAUUAUUCCCAAAAGAAUCCCACCCUUGUGUUUUACACCAAUUAUGUUACUGGAAAACAACAAUGUCUGUUCAAAAGCUUGUUACAUACCAGAGAUAUUCAGGAUGACGAAAACGAUAACCAGGAUGUCCAAUUGUAUCAAAAAACUAUACAGCAAAAGAAAGGGGAAUUUGUUGGAUAUUGCAAUGGUUUAAGUUGUUUUAGAAACACUAUUACGGAACUUGCUUUCUUCAUUGAUGUUUGGAACGAUACUACACAAGAAGUUUUGCGGAUAAUCCCUCCUCCUGUUAUACAACACAGCAAAGGAGGAGGUAUAGGAGGAGGAGGAAUUUAUAAGCUCUUGUCUUGUGGAUUUGGGUUCGAUUCUGUUAACAAUGAGUAUAAAUUGGUAAUUAUUGUUUUCAUGUUUGAAACUAAGUCCCCUAAGUGUUUCGUUUUUACUUUUGGAAUCAAAUCUUCAUGGACAGAAGUUAGGUCUCCUAAUAUCGGAUUACUACGAACAUGUGCUUCAGCCGUAUUCACUUCUUAUGGAGCCGCAGGAGCAGGAGCUUUGUUUUGGUGGACCACUGAUCCGCAGAUUAUUCUCUUGUUUGACCUCCAUGAAGAGAAGUUGCAAUACAUCCGAAUCCCACUUGAAUACAACACACAUACUCGGUGGUUUGAGUAUGAAGGAUUCUUAGUUAUUGCCCGUCUUGAAAAGAAAUCACCAACGUCGCUUACUUUGGGAAAGGUUCACUUGAAAGUAUUGAAGGCUUACAAAGAUGACCAGGUUUGGGCUCACGAGACCAUUGAUCUUUCGGCGUAUUCAAUUCCUUUCAAUAACAAUUUUCGGUUCGUCAGCUUCUCCGACCAGAUAUUACUGUACUGGGCGGAUGCCAAAAAUUUUCAUUUCUUCAAUCUGCAAAGGAGAUGUCUCAAGGUGGUUAGGAACCUAGAUUCAUGCAUCUCUGAUAAGGUAUUACCCACAGUUGUUAGACCCAAUGACUACUGGCUGAAUUGUGAGGUUGAAAACAUCUGUACUUUGAAAACCUUGUUGCCUGUACGAGCUCAAAUAUCUGAUCGUGCUGCUUUAAAUUCGAUGAUGAUGAAAAGCUUGGAGAAUAUGUGGAAUCUGCAACAACCAAAGACAGUUGGAGGAUUUUUCACUUCAUAUUACAAAUCAAAAACCAACAGUCACUACUUCUUCGAUGAUUAGGAGGUUUUACCCGUAGGUGCAUUAUAUUUGUUUGGUUUACUGUUUCAUUAAAUUUUGGUUUAAUUAUCGAUGGCAAAACUUUAUUUAUCUGCUGGACCUAUUGUGAUUCUGUAGCUCCUAUAUUUAUAUACAAUGUUUCUUUUUAUAAUGGAAAUGGAAAAUCAAUGACCAAAUGAAUAUCUUUUGCCCAUAUACUGGAGUUUUGAAAGCCGUGGAAAAGAUCAUUGGCGCUGGUAUGGAGGUCCAAGAAAAGAAGGAAAUGCAUAUUCCAUACAACAUUCUUCCAUUGGAUGUUGCUGGGGCAUCACAGUCCAUCAUGCAGCUUGAGGAGGUUAAAGCUUCCGUGGCUGCUCUCUGGAACAUCAUGUCUUGCUUGGCCUUCUUCGUUUGAGCAGCAAAGACAAAAGGGAGGAGACUUGAACAUACUAGAUUGGCUUUGGGAAAUGUUCGGCUUUCAGAAAGACGUUGUUAGGAAUCAAAGGGAACAUGAUUCUAAUGCUUGCAAAUAGUCAUAUACGACUCCUACCCAAGGCUGAGCCCCUUAACAAGAACAAAAAGAUCAUUUAAGUGGAGCAGUUCACCUGUUAUCUAACCUGGGUCACAAUCGCAUAUAAAGCGGUGGUGUAAGUAGUGCUGAACUAUCACAAUCUGAGUGCUCGAAAUGGGCAAGGUGUGAUUGCAGCAGCCUUAUUUUUACAACGACAGCCAAGAAAAAUCUGAUUUAUAUGAGAAGAAGGAUUAGGUAGUAGGAAAUGGUGCAAAGUCAACCUCAAAACCAAACUGGCAUAGGCAGCCAAACUCGACUCGUGCCUAAUCCUGUGCUUACUCAUUCACAAUCAGAAAGAGGACGUUUAUAUCUAAGUUACAACAACAGCGAAGUUAUAUGCGAGGUCAGUAAGAAGAGAGUAGCAGAACACUAGGAAGGGACAGUUGAAGAAACAAAUUUUGGUGACUGUAAAAAGUCUAAAGCACAAAAUGUAAUUUCUUUUUAAUUUCUACCAUUUCAGAAUGUUUUCUCCCUUUGAUUGUGCUUAAGGCCAGAAACAAGUUAUGAUUGUGCUUUAGCCCCAAA